UGUCGUAACAAGGUUUCCGUAGGUGAACCUGCGGAAGGAUCAUUCGCACGUAUCCACACAAUCUCACCUGAAUACAAUUUGUUGAGCUUUUGGGUGGGAUGGUUGCAUUUGCACUGUCUCAUGUGGAGGCUCGCGGGUAGCAGUGCGGGCAGUACAGUGUGGGUCUGCUGUGCUGUUCGCGCUACCGUUUUUUGUUUUGGAAGUUGUAGUUGCAGUAUAAUCUUGUUGGCUUCAUUGUUUUCCCAUAAACAAUUUUCAGCGAUGGAUGUCUCGGCUCAGACAACGAUGAAGGGCGCAGCGAAGUGUGAUAACCUUUGUGAAUUGCAGAAUUCCGUGAAUCAAUAGAGCUUUGAACGUGUUUUGUGCUUUUGGGAUAUACCUGAAAGCAUGCCUGCUUUGGUGUCUAUGAAUCUCAUUCCGGUGGCGUUCAACAAUUACAAAUCUUGCAUGCUACCUGUGUGUACAUGUGCGCAAUGGUGUUGCUCACACCCUUGCUGCGCAGAAUGUAUGUCAAACUUUGGUGCCCAACAGCUUGCUGAGCCUAGCAUUGGAUACUGGUUGCUGAUUUGGCACUAAAGCGAAGCAUUUUCUGUUUACUCCAUUUGAGACAUGAAGUUAGGCUAGCAAACCUGCUGAAUUUAAGCAUAUAAGUAAGCGGAGGACAAGAAACUAAAGAGGAUACCCAUAGUAAUGGCGAAUGAACAGGGAUGAGCUCAGUAUGGAAAUUGGGGCUUGUGGCUUUGACUUGUAAUCUUGUGAGGCAUCACCAACAGAGGCGCAGAUGUAAGUCUCUAGGAAGAGAGCAUCAAUGAGGGUGAGAGUCCUGAAUGUCAUUUGCAGCUCCCCUGUGCACGGUGUGCCUUCUAAGAGUCACGUUCCUCGGGAUUGGAGCGCAAAGUGGGUGGUAACUUUCAUCCGAAGCUAAACAGAGGUUUGAGACCGAUAGGAAACAAGUACCAUGAGGGAAAGGUGAAAAGGACUUUGGAAAGAGAGUUAAAAGUGCCUGAAAUUGCUGAAAGGGAAGCGAAUGGGACCAGUGGCACUAGGUGAGAUUGUCACACGCUGCAAGGAUUGGUUGCUGUGUCAGCGCAAGCGACCUAGUAAUUAUUGAGAUGCAUGUGUGUGGUGUGUCUUGCCGUGUGUGUCAUUGUGGGUUUAUGCAUUAAGACAAUUUGAAGCGCAUGGCAAAAUGUUUCUGGAUAUUUGAAUGUGCUUUGAUCUGUUUAUGCAUAAAUUCAUUGCUGAUUGUCUGGCUGUAGAAAUUGCUAUCCACAACUUUUGUUGAGGAAUUGUGCAUUUCAUUCUUCACAGAUCUUGACUAAAUGGUUCUAUUUGACCCGUCUUGAAACACGGACCAAGGAGUUUAGCAUAUGUGCAAACGCAUUGGCUGUACACCUGUGUGUGAAAUGAAAGUGACUGCUGGGAUACUUGCGCCAGCAACCGACCAAUCAAUUGAGAAAGGUUUGAGUAUUAGCAUAUCUGUUAGGACCCGAAAGAUGGUGAACUAUGCGUGA
rnacentral:rRNA from 1 species